rnacentral:rRNA from 1 species
GAUGAACGCUGGCGGCGUGCCUAAUACAUGCAAGUCGAGCGAACAGAUGAGGAGCUUGCUCCUCUGACGUUAGCGGCGGACGGGUGAGUAACACGUGGAUAACCUACCUAUAAGACUGGGAUAACUUCGGGAAACCGGAGCUAAUACCGGAUAAUAUAUUGAACCGCAUGGUUCAAUAGUGAAAGGCGGUUUUGCUGUCACUUAUAGAUGGAUCCGCGCCGCAUUAGCUAGUUGGUAAGGUAACGGCUUACCAAGGCAACGAUGCGUAGCCGACCUGAGAGGGUGAUCGGCCACACUGGAACUGAGACACGGUCCAGACUCCUACGGGAGGCAGCAGUAGGGAAUCUUCCGCAAUGGGCGAAAGCCUGACGGAGCAACGCCGCGUGAGUGAUGAAGGUCUUCGGAUCGUAAAACUCUGUUAUUAGGGAAGAACAAAUGUGUAAGUAACUAUGCACGUCUUGACGGUACCUAAUCAGAAAGCCACGGCUAACUACGU